rnacentral:rRNA from 1 species
AUGAACGCUGGCGGCGUGCCUAAUACAUGCAAGUCGAGCGAACAGACGAGGAGCUUGCUCCUCUGACGUUAGCGGCGGACGGGUGAGUAACACGUGGAUAACCUACCUAUAAGACUGGGAUAACUUCGGGAAACCGGAGCUAAUACCGGAUAAUAUAUUUAACCGCAUGGUUCAAUAGUGAAAGACGGUUUUGCUGUCACUUAUAGAUGGAUCCGCGCCGCAUUAGCUAGUUGGUAAGGUAACGGCUUACCAAGGCAACGAUUCGUAGCCGACCUGAGAGGGUGAUCGGCCACACUGGAACUGAGACACGGUCCAGACUCCUACGGGAGGCAGCAGUAGGGAAUCUUCCGCAAUGGGCGAAAGCCUGACGGAGCAACGCCGCGUGAGUGAUGAAGGUCUUCGGAUCGUAAAACUCUGUUAUUAGGGAAGAACAAAUGUGUAAGUAACUAUGCACGUCUUGACGGUACCUAAUCAGAAAGCCACGGCUAACUACGUG